rnacentral:lncRNA from 1 species
CAGUUGUGUAAUGGAGGUGGCUGACUGUCCUACGGGUUAGCUUUUCUUACUCUGUGAAAAGGAGUGCCUCUUAAAUAUGUAGAGACUGUUUCACAAUCAUCAUAACAUAGUCAAUACUGCAGGCCUCGGUGACUCCCCACCUAGGCAAUGCUAUGCCUUAUCACCCACAGAGGCAGGCUUCGGUCAUCAUUCGGACAUUGCACUGUGCUGUAUAAUUCAGGUGUGGUCCUUAAUUUUAUAAAACCUAGCAUUUCAGAAAAGCCAUCACCCCAAUUAACUUAGCAGUCUUAAGGAUCCCUAAAUACUCAC